CCUGCACAGGUGCUGCAUGGCUGCGUCAGCUCGUGUCGUGAGAUGUUCGGUUAAGUCCGCUAACGAGCGCAACCCUCGCUGUGUGUUAUAUGUGUCACACGGGACUGCCGGUCUUAAGCCGGAGGAAGUGGGGAUGAUGUCAAGUCAGCAUGGCCUUUAUAUCCUGGGCUACACACACGCUACAAUGGCCAACACAAUAGGUUGCUAAGCCGCGAGGUGGCGCCAAUCCAUAAAGUUGGUCUCAGUUCAGAUUGUAGGCUGCAACCCGCCUGCAUGAAGAUGGAGUUGCUAGUAACCGCAGGUCAGCUAUACUGCGGUGAAUACGUUCCCGGGGCUU
rnacentral:rRNA from 1 species